UGGGGAAUUUUGCACAAUGGGGGAAACCCUGAUGCAGCGACGCCGCGUGAUUUAGAAGGCCUUCGGGUUGUAAAAAUCUUUUGUAUGGGAAGAAAAUGACAGUACCAUACGAAUAAGGACCGGCUAAUUACGAGCCAGCAGCCGCGGUAAUACGUAAGGUCCGAGCGUUGUCCGGAAUCAUUGGGCGUAAAGGGUACGUAGGCGGAUAAGCAAGUUAGAAGUGAAAACCUAUAGCUCAACUAUAGUAAGCUUUUAAAACUGUUCAUCUUUAGGUAUGGGAGGGAAAGUGGAAUUCCUAGUGUAGCGGUGAAAUGCGCAGAUAUUAGGAGGAAUACCGAUGGCGAAGGCGACUUUCUGGCCAUAUACUGUCGCUGAGGUACGAAAGCGUGGGUAGCAAACAGG
rnacentral:rRNA from 1 species